rnacentral:rRNA from 1 species
UGGGGAAUUUUGCACAAUGGGGGAAACCCUGAUGCAGCGACGCCGCGUGAUUUAGAAGGCCUUCGGGUUGUAAAAAUCUUUUGUAUGGGAAGAAAAUGACAGUACCAUACGAAUAAGGACCGCUAAUUACGUGCCAGCAGCCGCGGUAAUACGUAAGGUCCGAGCGUUGUCCGGAAUCAUUGGGCGUAAAGGGUACGUAGGCGGAUAAGCAAGUUAGAAGUGAAAUCCUAUAGCUCAACUAUAGUAAGCUUUUAAAACUGCUCAUCUUGAGGUAUGGAAGGGAAAGUGGAAUUCCUAGUGUAGCGGUGAAAUGCGCAGAUAUUAGGAGGAAUACCGGUGGCGAAGGCGACUUUCUGGCCAUAUACUGACGCUGAGGUACGAAAGCGUGGGUAGCAAACAGG